UACGGGGGGGGGUAAGCGUUGUUCGGAAUUACUGGGCGUAAAGGGCUCGUAGGCGGCCAACUAAGUCGGACGUGAAAUCCCUCAGCUUAACUGGGGAACUGCGUCCGAUACUGGAUGGCUUGGAUUUGGGAGAGGGAUGCGGAAUUCCAGGUGUAGCGGUGAAAUGCGUAGAUAUCUGGAGGAACACCGGUGGCGAAGGCGGCUCUCUGGACCACAACUGACGCUGAGGCGCGAAAGCAAGGGGAGCAAACAGG
rnacentral:rRNA from 1 species